rnacentral:piRNA from 1 species
UAGAUACCCCAUCUGCAGCUGAUC